UGAGUACAAGAUGCUACGGCAUUGAAGCAGUCUAUGUCAUACUUCCAAGAAAAGCUUGCAAUGUCAUAAACAAAUAAUGCCUGUACCAUAACCGACACAGGUGGGUAGGUAGAGUAUACUAAGGGGCGCGAGAUAACUCUCUCUAAGGAACUCGGCAAAAUGACUCCGUAACUUCGGGAGAAGGAGUACCUUAUUUUAUAAGGUUGCAAUAACAAGGUCCAAGCAACUGUUUACCAAAAACACAGGUCUCCGCUAAGUCGUAAGACGAUGUAUGGGGGCUGACGCCUGCCCAGUGCCAGAAGGUUAAAGAAGUUGGUUAGCAUUAGCGAAGCUGAUAACUGAAGCCCUGGUGAACGGCGGCCGUAACGAUAACGGUCCUAAGGUAGCGAAAUUCCUUGUCGGGUAAGUUCCGACCCGCACGAAAGGCGUAAUGAUUUGGAUACUGUCUCGGAGAGGGGCUCGGUGAAAUAGACUUGUCUGUGAAGAUGCGGACUACCUGCACCUGGACAGAAAGACCCUAUGAAGCUUUACUGUAACUUGAGAUUGAAAUUGGACUUUAUUUGCGCAGUAUAGGUGGGAGACCUCGAAAGUAUUCUUGCGGGAAUAUUGGAGUCAUCAGUGAGAUACCACUCUUAUAAUGUUAGAUUUCUAACUUUGUAUCAUUAUCUGGUCAAAGAACAGUUUCAGGCGGGCAGUUUGACUGGGGCGGUCGCCUCCCAAAUGGUAACGGAGGCGCACAAAGGUUUCCUCUGAACGUGUAGAAAUCGUAUCUAGAGUGUAAAGGCAUAAGGAAGCUUGACUGUGAGACCUACAAGUCGAGCAGGGACGAAAGUCGGUCUUAGUGAUCUGACGGUGCUGAGUGGAAAGGCCGUCACUCAACGGAUAAAAGUUACUCUAAGGAUAACAGGCUGAUCUCCCCCAAGAGUUCACAUCGACGGGGAGGUUUGGCACCUCGAUGUCGGCUCAUCGCAUCCUGGGGCGGUAGUACGUCCCAAGGGUUGGGCUGUUCGCCCAUGAAAGCGGUACGCGAGCUGGGUUCAGAACGUCGUGAGACAGUUCGGUCCAUAUCCGGUGUAGGCGUUAGAAUAUUGAGAGGAGCCUUCUUUAGUACGAGAGGACCGAGAAGGACAUACCUCUGGUGUACCAGUUAUCGUGCCAACGGUAAACGCUGGGUAGCUAUGUAUGGAGAGGAUAACCGCUGAAAGCAUCUAAGUGGGAAGCCCACCUCAAGAUAAGUAUUCCC
rnacentral:rRNA from 1 species